GACGAACGCUGGCGGCGUGCUUAACACAUGCAAGUCGAACGGAAAGGCCCUGCUUUUGUGGGGUGCUCGAGUGGCGAACGGGUGAGUAACACGUGAGUAACCUGCCCUUGACUUUGGGAUAACUUCAGGAAACUGGGGCUAAUACCGGAUAGGAGCUCCUGCUGCAUGGUGGGGGUUGGAAAGUUUCGGCGGUUGGGGAUGGACUCGCGGCUUAUCAGCUUGUUGGUGGGGUAGUGGCUUACCAAGGCUUUGACGGGUAGCCGGCCUGAGAGGGUGACCGGCCACAUUGGGACUGAGAUACGGCCCAGACUCCUACGGGAGGCAGCAGUGGGGAAUAUUGAACAAGGGGCGGAAGCCUGAUGCAGCAACGACGCGUGCGGGAGGACGGCCUUCGGGUUGUAAACCGCUUUCGCCUGUGACGAAGCGUGAGGGACGGUAAUGGAUAAAGAAGCAACGGAUAACUACGUG
rnacentral:rRNA from 1 species